rnacentral:tRNA from 1 species
AUCUUUUUAUUAUAUAAGUAUAACUGACUUCCAAUCAGUAGGUCUCAAUAGAGAAAAGAUA